GUUUAUUACGUUUGUUCCUGUUUGGAAGGAGUCCAGGGUGGCCAUCAGAGCGAGGGCCGAGGUCGCUGCCUUGGCAGAUAGGGGAGGAAAGGUCCUCACACUGCAAAGUGAACACUGCGUCGAUGCUGGCAGUUGUGCAAUGACUGCUGAAGGAGAUCGCUUGUGGCCUCAGUUCCUGCAGGAAGUACCUGAUCCAAAAAAACAAGCCCAGGAAGAGCAGGAAGCACACCAGGAGUAUCCUCAGAUGGAUCCCAGCCACACCUAAAGGAAACAAAACCUACAUUUAAAAAAAUAAAAAUAAAAAAAUCCCAGCCCUGGAAGAUGCAGCCUGACCGUGCCCGGGCUGGCCCCGAUACGCGGGGCAAUGGUGCCCUCUAAUGUCGGCCGGGCCCGGUGGAGCCGCCCGCUGCCCCCCGGACGUGCCAGGUUUUGCAGGUUAUUCCGAGCCCAUUUGACUCCUUGGCAAGACCUCUGGAUGGGAGAAUGCCUUCAGUUCAAGCUGUGAAAAUGAGGUUAAGGUGCACGUUAUCCCGCUCCCCAGGCUGGGUUCCCUCUUGUUUGCCGCUCCCUCCGAUCCCCGCGAUGGGCUGUGAGAUAGCUUACGAUGACGCAGCGAGCUUUACAUUUGCGUUCAGCAUAGUAACUUUCUGAAGACGCGGCGCUGAAGCUUUCCCUAAUCUCAAGAAGUGAUCAUUUUGUAAUCUGCCUCGUGGACUCCUGGCAUUAAUGUGGCUGCAGGCUCUGAACAAGGACCAAGCACAACACAGCCGGCGGUGAACCUGCAAGGGAGCGAGUCGUUGGGCUCCCAGGGGGGCGUCCAUCACGUUCCUCCUGCAGCCAGUCUAACUGUAUGGAGGCUGCCCUGCCUGCAGUACGGUAUGUGUUCAGAUAGGGCAGGGAGUUAAUUGUAGCUGGCAUAGCACUAUAAACAUGCUUAUGUCAUGUUGUAAUUGGCUCUUGGUGAAACAGCUUCACAAAGGUGCAAUCAAAGGCAGGCUUUUGCCCCGAUGCUAGCAGGUAUCUCGCUGUCCUCCAGCAGGCAGCUUUGCCAGCAUGAGCAUUACGAUUCUCUUGGUCAUGUCACACAGUAACAUAUUCUGCAUGGAGUCUCUCCAUGUUGUUUAAAGUCAAAGAGAGAAUCUUAUCUCCAACACAAGCAUGGCAUCUGUCCUGGGAAGAGCAUAAGCAAGCCCUGGUUAUUUAUAAAUAAGCAUGUGCCCUGCACAGCAAAGUCUGUGCGUACGGUGGCACAUGGCGGCAUUUCAGACUGACGUGGUACAAAUACUUCCAGCAUGAACCGCGUUCUCAAACGUUGUCAUGACUGAGUGAGUCAGAAACAAAUGUUUGCUAACAGCAAAAGCAGCAGAGGAGCUGGAUGCAAAAGACUGAAGGAAAAAAUCCCAACAGCAAAUUUAAUCUAGGUUCUUUCCUCUUGGUGCAUCACAAGGACUGAGCCAGUCCAUGGUUUCUGAGGGUGCUUACAGUGAGGGGGAUGCAGUGGUGGCUUCAUUUGUGCAGAGUUGGAUGCAUUUUUGGCAAAUGAUUUAUUGCUGAGGCUCAGGAGGAGUAUAAUCCUUCAUGCUGUCCUGGCUGUGCUGGGCAGAGAGGAGUGGAAAUGAUUAAAUCCUUCUUGUUUCAUCUUGACUGUAAG
ensembl:lncRNA